rnacentral:rRNA from 1 species
AUUGAACGCUGGCGGCAUGCUUUACACAUGCAAGUCGAACGGUAACAGGUCUUCGGAUGCUGACGAGUGGCGAACGGGUGAGUAAUACAUCGGAACGUGCCUAGUAGUGGGGGAUAACUACUCGAAAGAGUGGCUAAUACCGCAUGAGAUCUACGGAUGAAAGCAGGGGAUCGCAAGACCUUGUGCUACUAGAGCGGCCGAUGGCAGAUUAGGUAGUUGGUGGGAUAAAGCUUACCAAGCCGACGAUCUGUAGCUGGUCUGAGAGGACGAUCAGCCACACUGGGACUGAGACACGGCCCAGACUCCUACGGGAGGCAGCAGUGGGGAAUUUUGGACAAUGGGCGCAAGCCUGAUCCAGCAAUGCCGCGUGCAGGAUGAAGGCCUUCGGGUUGUAAACUGCUUUUGUACGGAACGAAAAGCCCUGGGUUAAUACCCUGGGGUCAUGACGGUACCGUAAGAAUAAGCACCGGCUAACUACGUGCCAGCCGCCGCCGUAAGAC